AGAGCAAGAUCUGAGAGAAGAGGAGGCAGACAACGAGAAGCGAGCUUCAGGAGCAGAGGCGAACAGGGCUUUCACAAUGGAGAAGAAGCUCUCAUGCCAAUGUCAAACAUGGUUACUACGAUGCACUAAAUCAUGCUGCUGUAAUCGAAGAGGAAGCAUCUUGGUAGCAAGGUUGUGACGCCGGAAAGCUAAUCGGUGGAGAGAUUCACCGUUGGAGCUGGAAGAGAAGAAUGGUGGUAGAUAUCUUGCCAUUGAAGAUGUUAUCGACUGUGAGGCAAAGGUCAGAUCAAAGCAGGAGCUCCUUGCAGAGGCAAGCCACUAGAAAAAUUGCAAAUACUCAGAUAUGACAUAUUCAAGGUCUUACACUAUGUGAACAACAUCUAAUUUCAACAGAUAUGAUGAGUAAGCAAUACUCUUUGAUGAAUCUGCGAGAACAUGCAAAUAAAAAACAAUUUGAGUCCAAGGCAUUUGAUUUAUAUAAAUAAUACUCACCAAAUAAAGGAAUGCUGAAAAAUUUUAUGAAUGAAGCUCAUGAGAAAUUGAAGGUUUGUUCAUUUGCUUUUGUUUUGAUUUCGUCAUUCAUAAGUAUCUUUGUAAGGGGAUAAGUUAUAUUGAUUAGUGUAAUUUGAACUUACUAUUAUUAAUUCAUAUGUUUCUUUGCUAAUCUUUUUUUAUUUAAUUUUUUCAUUCUGUUUGAAUUUAAUUUUUGAUUCUUUUUUUUUUUUAUUUUUCUCAGGUGUUUAAAGUAUUUUUUGAUAUAAAAUUUAUUUGAUUUCUUUGCUUAGAAGAUUCUCCAGGCUAUUUCUUGCAUGUAUGUUAGUAGUAAUUAUUUAAUAACCCUUCUUGAUGUCCAAAAUCAAAGAAUUUAGGUAAUUUAUACAU